GAAUAUGUGAAGAUUCAUUUUUAUUUCAUAAUGUCUUCGCAUGUUUUGUUAAACGAAAUUUAUUUGAAGAGUGGCAGCGCGGAGUGAUUACAUUUUGGUUGGUUCCACAAUAAUUUAUUAUUUUGAUCUGGCUGUACAAAUUUCUCUAAUGCUCCAUUCUGCUGGCAACGCUAACUUACAACUGCUAAUUUGACACGUUUGUCUACUUAUAUUUUAAACAGGCUUUUGAAUGGAUGUUUCUAUUUAGUGGCGUUGGAAAGAUGCGCUCCGGGUUGCAGCACACAUUUUAAUAUCCUGCUUCCAAACUCCGGAAUGCUUGCUAUUGCAAAUUUAUCAGAUGUCAUCUUUAACCAAUAAAAAGACAGUUUUGACAAAAUUUCACAAACUCUCUACUUCUUAAAAAUGUGCUUCCGUCGCUGUUCACAUUCUAACAACCAGUCAUUCAAACUCGAAAUGCUUACACAAAUUUCAGAAGUAGUCUUAAAGUUAAAAAAGGAACAUAGUGACAUUUUACAAUGAAAAUAUAAACUUGAAAUUCUAUUCAUAUAGGUUCGUCAAUAAAAAUGUUUUUCCUCUG